AUGAUUUCACACAUCCAGCUGAUCUGGCCCCUGGCAUUCUGUGUCGCAGGUAUCAGUGGGGACAUCAUCAUGACUCAGUCUCCCCCGGUGCUGUCAGUGGGACUGGGCCAGACCGCAACACUCACCUGUAAGGCCAGUCAAAGCAUUAGCAGCUACCUUGCUUGGUACCAGCAGCGAGAAGGUCAGAAACCCUCUCUCCUGAUCUAUGAUGCAACAAAUCGAUUCACAGGAGUCUCCGAGCGAUUCACCGGCAGUGGAUCAGGGACCAGUUUCACCCUGACAAUCAGCAACGUUCAGAAUGAGGAUGUCGCUGACUAUUACUGUCAGCAACGUAACAGCUGGCCGUUCACGUUCGGUCCAGGAACCAAGCUCAGACUGAGGACCAGCCAACCUCAGAGCGAUGGCCUCAGCAGCUGCCCACCCCUCAUCCAGGGCAUUCGCAGCACAGUCAGGGUGACUGUCAAGAAGGUGGAGGAGCGUACACCAGUCGAUCGGACGGUGUUCAUCAAGGAGAUGUUGCUCGAGUGCUGUAGGUUUGCUGCAGCGGAUGUGUACAGCUGCAGGAUUUCCCUCGGGCAGGCUACUUUGACGUCACAUUCAGGAGCGUGA